UACGAAGGGUGCAAGCGUUACUCGAAAUUACUGGGCGUAAAGCGUGCGUAGGUGGUUUGUUAAGUCUGAUGUGAAAGCCCUGGGCUCAACCUGGGAAUUGCACUGGAUACUGGCAGGCUAGAGUGCGGUAGAGGAUGGCGGAAUUCCCGGUGUAGCAGUGAAAUGCGUAGAGAUCGGGAGGAACAUCCGUGGCGAAGGCGGCCAUCUGGACCAGCACUGACACUGAGGCACGAAAGCGUGGGGAGCAAACAGG
rnacentral:rRNA from 1 species